rnacentral:piRNA from 1 species
GCCUCUGGUUAGCCCACUGCUGUUGAGCCUA